rnacentral:rRNA from 1 species
CCUACGGGCGGCUGCAGUGGGGAAUAUUGGACAAUGGGGGCAACCCUGAUCCAGCCAUGCCGCGUGUGUGAAGAAGGCCCUCGGGUUGUAAAGCACUUUCAGUGAGGAAGAACGCCUGGUGGUUAAUACCCAUCAGGAAAGACAUCACUCACAGAAGAAGCACCGGCUAACUCCGUGCCAGCAGCCGCGGUAAUACGGAGGGUGCGAGCGUUAAUCGGAAUUACUGGGCGUAAAGCGCGCGUAGGUGGCUUGAUAAGCCGGUUGUGAAAGCCCCGGGCUCAACCUGGGAACGGCAUCCUGAACUGUCAAGCUAGAGUGCAGGAGAGGAAGGUAGAAUUCCCGGUGUAGCGGUGAAAUGCGUAGAGAUCGGGAGGAAUACCAGUGGCGAAGGCGGCCUUCUGGACUGACACUGACACUGAGGUGCGAAAGCGUGGGUAGCAAACAGGAUUAGAUACCCGAGUAGUC